rnacentral:rRNA from 1 species
UGAAUGGCAAAACGAAAGCUUANCUGUCUCCUUGGAUUAAUCAAUGAAAUUGAUCUUUCCGUGCAGAAGCGGAAAUAUCUUUAUAAGACAAAAAGACCCCAUGGAGCUUCAAAUCUAAAUUAAUCACAUGUAAUAAAAAUAUAAUAAACAACUUAAUAUAAGAUUUUGGGUUGGGGCGACCGCGGAGUAAACUUUAACCUCCGAGACAAGUAAUUAAGAAAGACAUUUCAAAAUAAUAAAAUAGCUAAUACACUUGAUCCAAUAUUUGAUCAACGAACCAAGUUACCCUGGGGAUAACAGCGCAAUCCUUUUAGAGAGUUCAUAUCGACAAGGGGGUUUACGACCUCGAUGUUGGAUCAGGGCCCCCAAAUGGUGCAGCAACUAUUAAAGGUUCGUUUGUUCAACGAUUAAAGCCCUACGUGAUCUGAGUU